GAUGAACGCUGGCGGCGUGCUUAACACAUGCAAGUCGAACGGAAAGACGAGGAGAUUGCUGGUCGCACGUGAGGGGCGGGGGGGUGAGACACACGAGCAUACCCUACCUAUAGGACUGAGAUAACUACGGGAAAGCGGAUACAACAUAGGAUAUGAUAUUGAACCCUGGGGGCCAUUGGGCAUAGCGGGUUUUGCGGGACCUAUGCCGGAUUAGCUAGCUGGUUGGGUAAGGGCUUACCAAGCCGACGAUGUGUAGCUGGCCUGAGAGGACGACCGGCCACACUGGAACUGAGACACGGCCCAGACUCCUACGGGAGGCAGCAGUAGGGAAUGUUCGGCAAUGGGCGAAAGCCUGACGCAGCAACGCCGCGUGAGUGACGAAGGCCUUCGGGUCGUAAAACGCUGUUGUGCGGGAAGAACAGAUUUGGACUUAAACAUGGCGGUCAUGACGGUACCGAAUCAAUAAGCAACGGCUAACUACGUG
rnacentral:rRNA from 1 species